rnacentral:rRNA from 1 species
AACGAACGCUGGCGGCAUGCCUAACACAUGCAAGUCGAACGAGACCUUCGGGUCUAGUGACGCACGGGUGCGUAACGCGUGGGAACCUGCCUUUAGGUUCGGAAUAACUCAGAGAAAUUUGAGCUAAUACCGGAUGAUGUCUUCGGACCAAAGAUUUAUCGCCUUUAGAUGGGCCCGCGUUGGAUUAGCUAGUUGGUGGGGUAAAGGCCUACCAAGGCGACGAUCCAUAGCUGGUCUGAGAGGAUGAUCAGCCACACUGGGACUGAGACACGGCCCAGACUCCUACGGGAGGCAGCAGUGGGGAAUAUUGGACAAUGGGCGAAAGCCUGAUCCAGCAAUGCCGCGUGAGUGAUGAAGGCCUUAGGGUUGUAAAGCUCUUUUACCCGAGAUGAUAAUGACAGUAUCGGGAGAAUAAGCUCCGGCUAACUCCGUG